GUCAUAUGCUGUCUCAAAGAUAAGCCAUGCAUGUCUCAGUACAAGCCAAAUUAAGGUGAAACCGCGAAAGGCUCAUUAAAUCAGUUAUGGUUCCUUAGAUCGUACCCACAAUUACUUGGAUAACUGUGGUAAUUCUAGAGGUAAUACAUGCAAACAGAGCUCCGACCGGAGACGGAAGGAGUGCUUUAGUAGAUCAAAACCAAUCGGUGGCGGGUUCGCGCUCGUUAUCGUACAACUUGGUGACUCUGAAUAACUUUACGCUGAUCGCACGGUCAUAGCACCGGCGACGCAUCUUUCAAAUGUCUGCCUUAUCAACUGUCGAUGGUAGGUUCUGCGCCUACCAUGGUUGUAACGGGUAACGGGGAAUCAGGGUUCGAUUCCGGAGAGGGAGCCUGAGAAACGGCUACCACAUCCAAGGAAGGCAGCAGGCGCGCAAAUUACCCACUCCCGGCACGGGGAGGUAGUGACGAAAAAUAACGAUACGGGACUCAUCCGAGGCCCCGUAAUCGGAAUGAGUACACUCUAAACCCUUUAACGAGGAUCAAUUGGAGGGCAAGUCUGGUGCCAGCAGCCGCGGUAAUUCCAGCUCCAAUAGCGUAUAUUAAAGUUGUUGCGGUUAAAAAGCUCGUAGUCGAAUUUGUGUCUCGCGCCGCCGGUUCAUCGUCCGCGGUGUUAACUGGCGAGUCGCGAGACGUCCUGCCGGUGGGCUUAGCUCGCGAGGGCGGCCCAACUCAAUCCUGCCGCGGUGCUCUUCAUUGAGUGUCGAGGUGCGCCGGCACGUUUACUUUGAACAAAUUAUAGUGCUUAAAGCAGGCUAAAACUUCGCCUGAAUACUGUGUGCAUGGAAUAAUGGAAUAGGACCUCGGUUCUAUUUUGUUGGUUUUCGGAACCCCGAGGUAAUGAUUAAUAGGAACGGAUGGGGGCAUUCGUAUUGCGACGUUAGAGGUGAAAUUCUUGGAUCGUCGC
rnacentral:rRNA from 1 species